ensembl:snRNA U1 U1 spliceosomal RNA
AUACUUACCUGGGAGGGGGGACACCAUGUCCACGAAGGUGGUUCACCUAUGGCGAGGUCUAGCCAUUGCACCCAGGCUAGUUAACCUAUACGAAUUCUCCAAAUGUGGGAAUCUCGACUGCAUGAUUUGUGGUAGUGGGGGACUGCGUUCGCGCUCUCCUCCA